GAUGAACGCUGGCGGUAUGCUUAACACAUGCAAGUCGAACGGACUCUUCGGAGUUAGUGGCGGACGGGUGAGUAACGCGUGAGAAUCUGGCUUUGGGUUCGGGACAACCACUGGAAACGGUGGCUAAUACCGGAUGUGCCGAGAGGUAAAAGAGAAAUUGCCUGAAGAUGAGCUCGCGUCUGAUUAGCUAGUUGGUGAGGUAAAGGCUCACCAAGGCAGCGAUCAGUAGCUGGUCUGAGAGGAUGACCAGCCACACUGGGACUGAGACACGGCCCAGACUCCUACGGGAGGCAGCAGUGGGGAAUUUUCCGCAAUGGGCGAAAUCCUGACGGAGCAAUACCGCGUGAGGGAAGAAGGCUCUUGGGUUGUAAACCUCUUUUCUUAGGGAAGAACAAAAUGACGGUACCUAAGGAAUCAGCAUCGGCUAACUCCGUG
rnacentral:rRNA from 1 species